rnacentral:lncRNA from 1 species
ACAAAAUGAAAAACUUAUUUUCUAGUCUUACUACUGUCUUAUGAAGCAGGUCAUAAGCUUAUAUUUGAUUUCAGCUUUUAUAUCCCCCAAAGGUAGGUCUUAAGGCCUAACAUAUUUUUCUUACAGAUAUUGUGAGAUGAAUGGCUAAGGUUGCUUUUAUUUUCUGUUAGAGACAUGUUUGAAGUCCCACCGUAUGCUUCCUGAUAAUUUGUGACAAUAUGAGCAAUACAAGUGACAAGAAACCAGGGGAGUCAAAGAAGAUUCCUUAAUUCGUAACCAGCUAACAUCUUUGUUGGUGUUUACAUACAAGAGUAAGUGCACCUCAACAACUAUUCUUAGAUAUGUGUGGCCUCCCAAUUUAGGCUUCUUCACAUCAAGAAUAUUUAGCACACUUUUAGGCAAGUUCUGAAAUAAAACUUACUAUUCAAUUUUUUUUUUUUUUUUUUUGGUAAAAUGACUAUAGCUUUCCAUCCAUAAAAUGUAGGAUUAAGCUGUAAUCCCAAAAUAGAAAUGCUCACACAUAAUCACAAAAACUUAUCGUGAUUCUCCCUUGAUGUGAGAGCUAUGUCAAUUCACCGCUACUUUAAUGAAGGAGAAGAAUUAUGAGGUUAAUCCCAUCUCUCAUAAAGGUAUCUUAAUACAACUAUAUGAAUGCCCAAUAAAGAAACUGUGUCGAUAUUCUAUCGAAGGGAUAUUUGAACAUUAUAAUUAGGCUCCUCUUAAUCAAUCAAAAUAUCCCGCUAGAACUGUCCUCUUUCUCCCGCACUUCUCGAAUGUAAUAUUUCAGUGAAGUAUGUGAAUAAAAUAAGCAUGACCCAGGUGUGUACAUAAUUGCUUCAGGUUCUACUCCCAGCAGUGGAGGACAUGGGAAGCCUGCUUUAUCCAAUUAGCAUGACAUCGACAUUGUUGGAGGAAGAUUGAGAAAUCUGUGCAAGUGGCAAAAGUUAAAAUUCACAAGGCCUUGGCAAAAAGAGGGCAAGAGCUCACCUAGCCUCCGUGCCACCAUUAAUACAUCAAAUUUUCUGCCAAUUUGCUUAGUUCCUUGUGCAAUAACUAUAUACAUAAUGCUAAAUUAUCACCCCUAGUACUUAGUGCAAAAUUACCUCCUCUAGUGCUUCAGAAGCCGGCCGAGCCUAAUUUUAGUGCAAAAGACCAUUCAUAGGGAGCAUAUUCUUGUAGAUGACAUUGCAGCACAAUGGUACCUUGUUGGAACACCUGAUGACAUAUACGGUAAUAGUAUUACCAUGUACGUAUUUUCUCCAAUCUCGAGCUUUCUUUUUAUACAUAGGUACGUUUUAUUUCAAUACACUAUUGCCACUGUGGAUAUACACGGAUUGAGAUUUGGCUUGAUUUUAUAAGAAAUUUACCAGUAUGUAUGUAUAUGUGUUCAUUUACUUGCUCUCUAUUUUUUUCAUUUACUGAUUUAGUGCAAUACAUAAAAACCAUGCCACUAAAAUUCUUUCUUAUUGAUUGUAUCGUCUUUUGCAUUAACAUCAGUUGUUAGGGUUUUUUGGGAAGUAAAAAUGUUAUAUAGG